CAGCGAAAGAGGAAAAAACUUGUGCUCAGCAAACACAGGAACAACACCUCAAUUCCUGACCAGCUCUUGUCUGGGUGUUUCCUCGGGCUGUAUUUUUGGCUCUCCAGCCCCAGAGCUGCUCUCCCGCAGGUGGAGGAGCCGUGAUCCGACACCUUUGGGAUGGGAGCCCCGGGCUCGGGUUUCCCCAGGGCAGGAGGGACACCAGGGGAGGAAGGGAGGGAUCAUCUGGAGGCAAACAACACCAGCCAGGUGACUCCAAACAUGACACCAGCGGCUCAAGAUGAGCUCCUUGAUGACAGACUCCGAGCUCCUCUGCUGCCGUGGCUCAGCCUCUGGGGCUAAUGAUGCUCUCUCGCUGCUCGUGACCCAGGAGAAGACAUUAAUCAAAGCACUGCUGCUUGAUUAAAGCAUUAAUAAUAUAUUUUACAGCAGCAGGGCUGUAUAUUAGAGGGAGGCUAAACUGUCUUUGGGAUGAGAAGUGUUUUCCUUCGUUAAAUGUCAGAGGAGAAAAGUUGCGAAAACUGAGCAACACCAAGAUUUGCCAAUGAGUAAAACUAUUUUUGUCAUGGGAAUCCCACUAAUUCCAAAGGAAAAAGGGAAAUGCACUAAAUAGGAGGGGUUUUAACAGGGAUUUGAGGUGACUUCACAUUUCUGAACCCUUUUUUUGUGCUUUUCCAAAGAGAGGAGGGGUCCCUCCUGCCAGCCGUGGCUGACCCAAGUGGGGAUGAGUGCUGAGGCUCAGCGCUGAUUGCUCCCCAUCCCUUUGGAAACAUUCCCACUUGGUUCCUGUGGGAUAACUCACUGGAUUAGGUCAUUUACGAGCCCAGCUUUCCUCCUCUUAAAGACUGAGGUAUCUGCCAUGGGUUAAAAUUGCCCAGCAUCAAUUUUAACAACAGAUAAGAUAAAUUAAAAACAAUCUUUCCUUAAAAAUAAUAUUAUCAAGAGUGGGACAAGGCUGAAAAAAGAGGAAGCAAUGAAGAAUAUUAAGGUUGACAGCAGUGUCUUCUUCCAUUCAUAAAUGUGAUGAUUCCAUUUGUUUUGCAGAAAUGAUAUUUUGCAUAAGCGAAUCGUUUAAAAAAAAGAACAUUAAAUCAAAAUGUGUCAAUGCAAUAAAAAUGUUUCCA